CUUCAAGCCAACAAAAACUAAUCUGCCAAUUCACAAAAGGGGAUAGUUAUAAUUGUCGUGAACACAAAAUUCAGUGUCACGGUGGAACUACUAUAUUUUCACAAUUGACAACUCUAAUCACAAAAAUUCUAAUCACAAAUACUCUUGGUUUUGCUCAAUCCAACUAAUACUCUCACCGGCAAAGCACGUCAUCAUCGUUUCUUUGGAAACAUCGCACGACAGUGUACAAAGGAUUUAGAUGAGUACGAAUAUAUCGGGAUUGGAAAGAUAAACAUCACACCCAAAUUCGAUUGGAAAGAUAACCCACCCCAUUUACCCAUCAAAAAUGCAAAUUGGGAUUUUCGGGGAAAAGGUUGUGUGCAUCCUUUUCUCUUCUCAAUAUAUAUAAAGAUUCUGAAGGUGUAUAUACCUCAAAUGGGUCAAGAUUUUCUAGAGCUUCGAUUAUCAGGUAUGCAACAAUAACCGAUGAUGUGUCAUUAAGUAGUCUUUUCAGCCGAUAACCGAUUGAAUCUAUCAAAGAAAAUUGACGUGAACAACUAAAAUCAUAACUCACAAUGCUAAAUAAAAGUUAUCUGAUUUUCUUUUCUUAUAUGAGACAGGUUUUGUUUACUCAUGUUUAUGAUUUUUUUUAUUAUAUUUUGUUUCCAGGAAAUUUCUUAUGGUUAUAAGAAAAUAUGCUACUUAUAAUAUCCAGGUUUCUGGUAUGGAUCAACUUUUGGGAUAGAUCUCUAAUUUUAUAUCUUACCUAAACAUAUUUAAUUAAACUGGUGCCUCGAUGAUAUUUUGAAGCCUAUUAUACAUUAUUUCUGUUAAAUGGAUAACAAACUAUCAACUUGAAACUGAGGAUGUUGGCUGAAUAGAAGUGAGAAACAUGUUGGUCUAAAAAUAAUUAUGGAGUCAUCAAAUUGAUAAUGGACUUUAUUGAAUUGGAUAUUAGCAAACCAAUUUGCAAAAUUACUGUACAAAAAACUUAUAAAAUGGUUGUCUAGUCAUUGGAUUUACAAUGAUCUAGAUUGAAUUGGGAAUACACAUGUAAAAUUGCAAGUUCAGUGCCUUCAAAUAAUUCAUUUGUUAUAUUUUGUGGAUAGAGAUGAGCAGGAUUAACAUACAUUUUCAGAGAAAAGGUCCCACAACAGCAUUGACCAAAUUAUCAAUCAGAGAAAUCAAAUUAUCAAUCAGAGAAAGCAAAGGAGAUGAAUUUGUGAAGAUAUAGGACUAAAAUGAAAAUACCAUAUUUUAUUAACAAGGCAACCGACACUUACCUAUGAUUUAAAUCCUCUUUGGCUUUAACGGCCAACAUUUACUCCAUCAAUAAUAGCUUCAAAUGGCCCAUAAUAAUCAAGUUAUUUCUACAGUCAAACAUUUGUUUUACCCUUAUUAAAGACACAAAUAAUAUAUAUACUGUUUGAAGUCAUGGUCAGUAAUGAAGCAGUAGCAGCUACAUAUACCAUAGAAAAUGUUAGUAUGUAAUAAUAAGAUUGAUCCUUAAAGAUAAGACUAUAAAAUCUGCAAUAUAUCACUCAUGGGUCAUAUACAUCUGUUUCUAUCGAAAAAGCAGUUCACCCACAUCUUCUGAGAACUAACUAUCCCUAAUCCAGCACCCGAAUCAUCCAAAAACAAUUUAGAGUUACAAAACUUCUUGACGAUUCUUUCAAUUGUAUAAUUUGAGUUAACCUUUGGUAGUUUGAUUAAUUUCCAUGAGGGAUUACAGGGGAAGCAUUUACAAAGCCAUUAAUGUAGUGUUUGUAGUUUUUGGUUUUAUAUUGCGUGUGUAGUAUAUCUUGCUUCUUUAUUUUCAUUUAUGAAUUCCUCUCUUAGAUUUCAGCCUUUGCUUGUAGAGAAUUGCUUAGAGGACCUCUAUGUGAUGGUUUAGUCUUAAUUUUGAGUGCAUUUCACUUUUGGCGUGAAUCAACGGUUGAAGUAAAUUCAUUAGCAAUGAUGGGUGGCGGUGAUGGUAAGAGCUAACUUUUGUAUCUCACUAGGUCUAUGAUUGCUUCGUUUGAUUAUCACUGUGAAAGCAGUAAAACUUUUUGUAUGGUAUUUUCUACUCAAUCCAAUCCAAAUUUUCUUUGAUUUUGCUUUGCUACAAAAUCCAUAACAAAAACAAGAAAAAAGAUUCAAUUAACAUUCUUCAACUUUGUCUAUAUAUGAAAAGGGUAAAAUUGCAUUGUUCAAAAUUUGAUUCAACAUAUAGUCACAGGUUCUCUUUCUUUUCCUUAUCUCAUUUUCCAAUCUCUUCUUCAUAUUAUCUUCCUUCUUUUCCUAAACGUGGCGGUGUUCUAUUGCAUCUCAAAAAUGGCAGCAAUGUGUACCUCUUUUUGUGCUGGAGUUUUUUUGUAAUUACAGAUAUUUCUGCUGGCAACCAUAUUUAUAUAUCCUUCUAUUAUUUUUUGAGUAUUAAGAUAUAUAUUGACCGACUGAAUACACAAUUUCUGUCAUGAUCAGUGAUCUGAUAGUGUCGGUCCAAAACUGAUGACCAACAACUUGCAACUGUGAUAUGUUUUUAAUUAUAAUGUGCUUUGACAUACCCAUGACUGAAUGAAAAUGAAAACGAAAGGACAGGGCAGAAUUUUGUGUUGUCGCCCCACUGAAAAUGCACUUCACUCUUGAGCACGAGUAUAACUUGCAAAAGGUUGGAGUUUAGCGUGAUCGAUGUUUGGAGUUAAAUUAAUAAUUUUCUAAAUAUCAAUAAUAAUCGAAUACAAUACAGAGCUCGAUCUAUCAAUUUCAUAAAAUUGCAAAGAUGGAUAUAACUUAGUUUUCUGUUUCCAUGCUCAUCUUCAUUGUUUUCUGCAUUGGUUUACACACUGCUAAAAGGAAAUUUUACUCAGGUGUAUGCACAAAGACACUUCUUCGACGGUAAGACGGGAUUUGGCAUUUAAGGUCUGGAAGCAUUAUGAAGGCUUGAUCUGUCAUUUGAUGAUCAAAUGCAUCAGCCAAUUGGUAGAGCUCUAUCCUUCACCAAAAAAAAAAAAAAAAUUGAUAGAGCUUUAUAUUCAGAUGUGCAUGAUAUAUCUGUUGCAGUUAGAAUAGGGCAGAUGAAGUAUUACAAAAAUGUUUUUAAAGAUAAAUGCGUAGAGGUUCUUCAGCGAUUUUUUCUUGGAUCAAUUUGAAUUGGAUCAUUAAAGAUCUUUCUAGAUUAUUUGUUGAAGGAUAGAGCAUCUCAUGAUCUUCAAUUCCGUCAACAUUGCAACUUAGGACUUCUGAUCUUUGUGUCUGCAAACAUUGCAAGCUUUAAACUUCUGAAAAAAGGCUUUAUAAAAUUUGAAAAUGAACAGUGUUAAACUACUUUCUGUGGCAGCAUUAUGUGUACUCCAUAUAUUGUUUAAAUUGCGACAUCAAGAUGAGUCUAAAGAAUGUCAAGGUUCUCAUUUACAACUGAAACAAUUAUUGAAAUGCAUUCUUUGAGGGCUUAUGGGUCAAGGGCUUUGCGAGAGAUCAAGCGCAUUCGUUGAGGACUGAACUAGGAGUUGCAGUUGGAGGAUUGAAGCACUCACAAGUGGAGGCAUAAAAAAUGAGCCUGUUGUAGGAAACACUCCUAAUGAAGAGUUCAACAAUACAUGAGGAUGUAAUACAGAGUUAAUAUACAUAUAGAAGUGAUUCUUUUUAAAUACUUGAUAAUAAUCUCUCAAGCACAUAUUACUGCCAAACCUGAUGUAAAUGAUUGAUUAUGUAUUUUAAAUUUCUUUAGUAGAGUUUUUGGA